CGGGCAUUAAAUCUGCUGUGCCGCAGCUAACGCAUUAAGUGAACCGCCUGGGGAGUACGGUCGCAAGACUAAAACUCAAAGGAAUUGACGGGGGCCCGCACAAGCGGUGGAGCAUGUGGUUUAAUUCGACGCAACGCGAAGAACCUUACCUGGGUUUGACAUCCUGUGAAUCUGUAAGAGAUUACGGAGUGCCUUCGGGAGCACAGUGACAGGUGCUGCAUGGCUGUCGUCAGCUCGUGUCGCGAGAUGUUUGGUUAAGUCCAGCAACGAGCGCGACCCUUAUCUUUAGUUGCCAGCGCGUAAUGGCGGGAACUCUAGAGAGACUGCCCGGGUUAACCGGGAGGAAGGCGGGGAUGACGUCAAGUCCUCAUGGCCCUUAUAUCCAGGGCUACACACGUGCUACAAUGGUAAAUACAGAGGGCAGCGAGCGGGCGACCGUGAGCGAAUCCCUAAAGUUUAUCUCAGUCCGGAUUGGAGUCUGCAACUCGACUCCAUGAAGUUGGAAUCGCUAGUAAUCGCGGAUCAGCAUGCCGCGGUGAAUAUGUUCCCGGGCCUUGUACACACCGCCCGUCACACCAUGAGAGUUGAUUAUACCCGACGUCGUUGGGCUAACCCUUCGGGGGAGCAGGCGCCUAAGGUAUGGUUGAUAAUUGGGGUGAAGUCGUAACAAGGUAGCCG
rnacentral:rRNA from 1 species